rnacentral:rRNA from 1 species
GACGAACGCUGGCGGCGUGCUUAACACAUGCAAGUCGAACGCUGAAGCACCAGCUUGCUGGUGUGGAUGAGUGGCGAACGGGUGAGUAAUACGUGAGUAACCUGCCCUUGACUCUGGGAUAAGCCCGGGAAACUGGGUCUAAUACUGGAUGCUACAUGUCACCGCAUGGUGGUGUGUGGAAAGGGUUUACUGGUCUUGGAUGGGCUCACGGCCUAUCAGCUUGUUGGUGAGGUAAUGGCUCACCAAGGCGACGACGGGUAGCCGGCCUGAGAGGGUGACCGGCCACACUGGGACUGAGACACGGCCCAGACUCCUACGGGAGGCAGCAGUGGGGAAUCUUGCACAAUGGGCGAAAGCCUGAUGCAGCGACGCCGCGUGAGGGAUGACGGCCUUCGGGUUGUAAACCUCUUUCAGCAGGGAAGAAGCCACAAGUGACAGUACCUGCAGAAGAAGCGCCGGCUAACUACGUG